CAUAUACUCCCUCCGUCCCAAAAUAAGUGUCGUUGAUCUAGUAUAAAAUUUGUACUAACCUAGUACAAAUUUUGCGACACUUAUUUUGGGACGGAGGGAGUACAAC
rnacentral:pre_miRNA from 1 species